GACGAACGCUGGCGGCGUGCCUAAUACAUGCAAGUAGAACGCACAGUUUAUACCGUAGCUUGCUACACCAUAGACUGUGAGUUGCGAACGGGUGAGUAACGCGUAGGUAACCUGCCUGGUAGCGGGGGAUAACUAUUGGAAACGAUAGCUAAUACCGCAUAAUAGUGAUUAUUGCAUGAUAAUUGAUUGAAAGAUGCUAUUGCAUCACUACCAGAUGGACUGGCUGUGUAUUAGCUAGUAGGUGAGGUAACGGCUCACCUAGGCGACGAUACAUAGCCGACCUGAGAGGGUGAUCGGCCACACUGGGACUGAUACACGGCCCAGACUCCUACGGGAGGCAGCAGUAGGGAAUCUUUGGCAAUGGACGAAAGUCCGACCGAGCAACGCCGCGUGAGGGAAGAAGGUUUUCGGAUCGUAAAGCUCUGUUGUAAGAGAAGAACGGGUGUAAGAGUGGAAAGUUCACACUGUGACGGUAUCUUAUCAGAAAGGGACGGCUAACUACGUG
rnacentral:rRNA from 1 species